rnacentral:rRNA from 1 species
GUGUCAGCCGCCGCGGUAAGACGAACCGUGCGAACGUUGUUCGGAAUCACUGGGCUUAAAGGGCGCGUAGGCGGUUUGCCAAGUCAGGGGUGAAAUCCUGCAGCUCAACUGUAGAAGUGCCUUUGAUACUGGCGAACUCGAGGGAGGUAGGGGUCGCUGGAACUUCUGGUGGAGCGGUGAAAUGCGUUGAUAUCAGAAGGAACGCCGGUGGCGAAAGCGAGCGACUGGAUCUCUUCUGACGCUGAGGCGCGAAAGCCAGGGGAGCAAACGGGAUUAGAAACCCCCGUAGUCC